UUGGGCCACAAGGAAGUGCCCUGGUCACCGCGUCUAUUUCCCACCACUCCAACACUUGACGCUUCUGUUGGAAUUGAGGACUCAACAUUUGACGCGGGUCUGAACAACUAUCCUCCCUCCUGGGGGUCGUAGGCAUGGCAUAUGCCCAUAUACAAUUGUUUUUAAUACUAAUAAUCAAUACAUCUUCAGAAUCAGAUUAUAAAAAAUACUGGGGAGGUUUUGCUGUAUUGGGACACAAAGUAACAUAUAAUAAAGUUUAAUAUUAAUACAUAGAUAAGAUAAUAAAUAAGCAAUUAUUUACUCAAAUUUGUGAAGAGACUGUGAUUUCCUUAGUAUACAAAUUUCUCUAAAAAUCAUAAGUAUAGGUAAAUAAAAAUGUAUUCCUCUGAACUUAGAUGUGGUAUUUGGCCUUCAUAGUUGUCUUAGUGUUUAUGAUUUAAUUUAAGGAUACUUUACCUACAUAAUACAAAUAUACAGGUUAAUCAUAAAUAUAAUUAGUAUUUUUCUUAUGUUUCGUGCUCUAAAGAUCAAAAUAGAGUUUCAUUCUGGGAAUUUAAGGUUAAACGGAGCAUGGCGCCCUCAAUCUUGCUGGGAACAAGGUUGUUCUGUUCUCAGCUAUCAUGCAGAAAAAAUGUGUUCCUUGGGAAAGUUCAUGAAUUGUACUUUUGAAGAUUUUUUUUACUUAUUAUUUCCUUGUAUUAACCAAAUAAAAAGACUUGUGAAAAAAUAAAGAAGAGAUUCAGCCUCAGAAUGCUUGAUAUCUCUGUCUGCUAUUUCUCCACCUCGCUGACGCCUCCCAUCCACCUAGGACCCCUGACCACUGCUAGGGCUGGACCCCAGCACCUGAUCUUCGUGAGGGAGACCGCAUCAGAUGCUUCCUCUUCUAAAGAGGAACCAGGAAAGCAGCUGGACCCCCACCUCCAGCCUCAGAGGGGAGGCGUGGCUAGAGACAAACACCCAGGCAUCACCCAUGUAGAGGGGCCACCUGUGAGGUGGUGGCUAAGGCAGCCUUGACACAACACGGUCACUGUGACUCUAAACGAGAAACUAAUCGUGUGCCCGGAUGUUCAGCUCAUCAGUUUCCAGGCGUAUAAACGCUCACCCCAUGUUCUGCCUGAUUUCCACUACAGAGUGCCCAAUCCUGCUGGACCAGGACGCACAUGGCCUCCCCACUCUGUGUGCCAACAGCAGUGUACGAUUGGACCUUGGCAUUAACCUCGUCUAUCAUGCACACUGCAAAGGCAAGGUCCACCCAGUCCCCAUUUGCAAUCAAAGUCCAGGAAAUGGGAAACAGGACCUGCUUGUAAAUCUUACUGAGAUUUGUUCUUGGAGAGUUCCCCACAGUAGCUUUUGUGAGCCCACUGAGCCCCACUGUCAAAUAACUGUCCAUGGUUUACUGUUACUUGCCAGCUGUGUGAUCUCCAGAAAUGACAACCUUUCUGAGGUUAGGGAACGGCCACCUGUAAAGUGGGAUUAACAUGUCUUUUUUCAUAGGAAUAUAGUAAAGAUCAAAUGAGAAUACACAGUAAAAGCAUUAUAAAUUUGUAAACCAC